AUUGAACGCUGGCGGCAGGCCUAACACAUGCAAGUCGAACGAGUGGCGGACGGGUGAGUAAUGUCUGGGAAACUGACUGAUGGAGGGGGAUAACUACAGGAAACGGUAGCUAAUACCGCAUACCAUCGGAUGUGCCCAGAUGGGAUUAGCAAGUAGGUGGGGUAAAGGCACACCUAGGCGAAGAGCCCUAGCUGGUCUGAGAGGAUGACCAGCCACACUGGAACUGAGACACGGUCCAGACUCCUACGGGAGGCAGCAGUGGGUAAUAUUGCACAAUGGGCGCAAGCCUGAUGCAGCCAUGCCGCGUGUAUGAAGAAGGCCUUCGGGUUGUAAAGUACUUUCAGCGGGGAGGCGUUACCCGCAGAAGAAGCACCGGCUAACUCCGUGCCAGCAGCCGCGGUAAUUC
rnacentral:rRNA from 1 species